rnacentral:rRNA from 1 species
GAGUAAUGUCUGGGAAACUGCCUGAUGGAGGGGGAUAACUACUGGAAACGGUGGCUAAUACCGCAUAACGUCGCAAGACCAAAGAGGGGGACCUUCGGGCCUCUUGCCAUCAGAUGUGCCCAGAUGGGAUUAGCUAGUUGGUGAGGUAACGGCUCACCAAGGCGACGAUCCCUAGCUGGUCUGAGAGGAUGACCAGCCACACUGGAACUGAGACACGGUCCAGACUCCUACGGGAGGCAGCAGUGGGGAAUAUUGCACAAUGGGCGCAAGCCUGAUGCAGCCAUGCCGCGUGUAUGAAGAAGGCCUUCGGGUUGUAAAGUACUUUCAGCGGGGAGGAAGGUGUUGUGGUUAAUAACCGCAGCAAUUGACGUUACCCGCAGAAGAAGCACCGGCUAACUCCGUGCCAGCAGCCGCGGUAAUACGGAGGGUGC